AUUGUUUUGGUGACGUUUAACCGGAGUUUCUAUGUUCCUCUGUGGCACACGGGGAAAAGUCGGAACUAAGAAUGGGGAACUGGAGUCAGGCAACGAAUACCACACAACAAUUAAAAAUUGACGGACGACGCGAGCGAUAGGAAAGGAAAAGUAGCUGGAAUGCGGUCUUCGAGGUCGAUCCCAAACAGCAUAGAUGGGAGUAAAUCUUGGUAUCCUGAUUGGCCUCUUGAUGCUGAGCGCAGAGAUGAGACGACAGAAUCAGCAACAAAAUGCAGCGGAAACGGGACAAGAUCCGCGAGAACAUGAUGAACGAGAUCCAUGAAAAAUCACAUCAGCCGGCAAGAAGUAGGAGUAGAUGAUGACCAAUCGCUGUUUUUCUUUGUCAACACAAAGCUGACAGGAGAUUCCAGACUUAGUUUUCGAUCAAGUAGAAAAAAUAGUGGAACCUGAAAUGAUGACGGUAGAUUGUACCAACGCUGACGUGCCUCCAAAUAUGUAUUUAAAACUGUAUUACCAUGUUUUAUUUUUUGAAGAAGAAUUUAUGUAAAACUCGUUUCUUAUUUCGAAACACAGAAUAAAAUUGUA